GGAGUUUGGUGCAUUUGGCGAGAGGCAGGGCAAGUUUCUGCCCUGCUGAUGAACUCAGGUUCGGCAGCCGAAGGUACAUUCGGCCGCCGAACCCCUGAGGAGGUGUGAGGAGGUGGCUUCGGCUGCCCAAGCUUGCCCCCGAGCUUUUGGACUUUCGGCUCUGGAGGGAAGUUCGGCCGCCGAAGGUGUCGCCGAAGGUUAGAGACUUUCGUCUCUGGAGUGCCUUUUGGCCUCCGAAACUUGCCCCCGAAAGGGUUCGGCAGCCGAAAGUGGAAGUUCGGCCGCCGAAGGUGCUUAAGUUUCGUCUCUGGAGAGG
rnacentral:lncRNA from 1 species